rnacentral:rRNA from 1 species
UCCGGUUGAUCCCGCCGGACCUGACUGCUAUCGGAUUGAUACUAAGCCAUGCGAGUCUUUGUAGCAAUACAAGGCAGACGGCUCAGUAACACGUAGUCAAUCUACCCUAUGGACGGGGAUAACCUCGGGAAACUGAGAAUAAUACCCGAUAGAUCAUUAUGCCUGGAAUGGUUUAUGGUCGAAAUGAUUUAUCGCCGUAGGAUGGGACUGCGGUCUAUCAGCUUGUUGGUGAGGUAAUGGCCCACCAAGGCUAUAACAGAUACGGGCUCUGAGAGGAGAAGCCCGGAGAUGGGUACUGAGACACGGACCCAGGCCCUAUGGGGCGCAGCAGGCGAGAAAACUUUGCAAUGUGCGAAAGCACGACAAGGUUAAUCCGAGUGUUUUCUGCUAAAGAAAUCUUUUGUCAGUCCUAAAAACACUGAUGAAUAAGGGGUGGGCAAGUUCUGGUGUCAGCCGCCGCGGUAAAACCAGCACCUCAAGUGGUCAGGAGGAUUAUUGGGCCUAAAGCAUCCGUAGCCGGCCGUGUAAGUUUUCGGCUAAAUCUAUACGCUCAACGUAUAGGCUGCCGGGAAUACUGCACAGCUAGGGAGUGGGAGAGGUAGACGGUACUCGGUAGGAAGGGGUAAAAUCCUUUGAUCUAUUGAUGACCACCUGUGGCGAAGGCGGUCUACUAGAACACGUCCGACGGUGAGGGAUGAAAGCUGGGGGAGCAAACCGGAUUAGAUACCCGGGUAGUCCCAGCUGUAAACAAUGCAAACUCAGUGAUGCACUGGCUUGUGGCCAGUGCAGUGCCGCAGGGAAGCCGUUAAGUUUGCCGCCUGGGAAGUACGUACGCAAGUAUGAAGCUUAAAGGAAUUGGCGGGGGAGCACCACAAGGGGUGAAGCCUGCGGUUCAAUU